rnacentral:rRNA from 1 species
GACGAACGCUGGCGGCGUGCUUAACACAUGCAAGUCGAACGGAAAGGCCCUGCUUUUGUGGGGUGCUCGAGUGGCGAACGGGUGAGUAACGCGUGAGUAACCUGCCCUUGACUUUGGGAUAACUUCAGGAAACUGGGGCUAAUACCGGAUAGGAGCUCCUGCUGCAUGGUGGGGGUUGGAAAGUUUCGGCGGUUGGGGAUGGACUCGCGGCUUAUCAGCUUGUUGGUGGGGUAGUGGCUUACCAAGGCUUUGACGGGUAGCCGGCCUGAGAGGGUGACCGGCCACAUUGGGACUGAGAUACGGCCCAGACUCCUACGGGAGGCAGCAGUGGGGAAUAUUGCACAAUGGGCGGAAGCCUGAUGCAGCAACGCCGCGUGCGGGAUGACGGCCUUCGGGUUGUAAACCGCUUUCGCCUGUGACGAAGCGUGAGUGACGGUAAUGAGUAAAGAAGCACCGGCUAACUACGUG